rnacentral:rRNA from 1 species
GUGGAUUAGAUACCCGGGUAGUCCACGCCGUAAACGGUGGGAACUAGUUGUAGGGGCCAUUCCACGGCUUCUGUGACGAAGCUAACGCAUUAAGUUCCCCGCCUGGGGAGUACGGUCGCAAGACUAAAACUCAAAGGAAUUGACGGGGGCCCGCACAAGCGGCGGAGCAUGCGGAUUAAUUCGAUGCAACGCGAAGAACCUUACCAAGGCUUGACAUAUAGAGGAAACGUGCAGAGAUGUACGCCCCGCAAGGUCUCUAUACAGGUGGUGCACGGUUGUCGCCAGCU